AUAAGAAUUAAGAGCACAACUUCUCUCCUUUUUGGCUUCUUUCAGGGGUAGAAAAUAGCAAGUAGCAACAUUGACAGUGAGAGAAAAUGAACUGUCAUUUUAAUGAAGUGUAGACCUUUCUCCUUGGAUUGGACCGCCAUUUUCUCAGCCUAUGUUUAACACCAUGUAAUUCUCUUCCAGAUCAAAAAACAUAUUCCAUCAAGUUCUAUAACCACUGGUCCAAAUAUAAUACUUGGCACAUUUGCAUAAGAAUUUGAAAGCAGAGAUGGUAGGACUCCAUUCAUAUAUUCCAUUUUCAUCUCUUCCUUUUUUAGUCGCGUUCCCACUCAGUUUACUAGUGUUUAAAUCUUUUGGGUCAUCAUUGGAGGAUAAAGCAAACAAGUUAAAUAUAAGGAAGGCUAUGCAGAGACUGGAAGAAUAGGCCUGCCCUGAGGGGUCGUCAUGGCGGCAUGCUUGCUGCGUCCUUCAUCUUGGUCGUGGAUGUAGUAGAGAUUCUAGCACACUUGGCAAAUGCAAGUACCUUGUGCUAUACCAGUCGAAGGGCACAGCCUUCCUCCUUGCUGUACUUGGUGGCUUUCUAGCAGAUGGUUUUUUUCACUACCUGUUGCGUCUACUUGAUAAGUGCUCCAAUAGAAUUCAUGAUUGUCCAAUCAUAUUCAGGUAGCUGGUUACAUUCCACAGGCUCAAGUGAAAAUUUCAGUUCUCCGUGGUCCCCUUUCAAAUGAAAAUAGCCUUCAGUCAUACGUGUGACAAACUGAUCAAACACAAGAACUUAAUGUUCAAUUCAUCCAAAAAGGAAAAUCCAGUGCCGCCAACAGCAAAUGCAAAUAAAGAUCUAGCUAGAUAUAUAAUCCAUUUCAUUUGUGUAUACUCGUGUUGUUCCAGCAUUUUAUGACACCUGCAAAGCUCGGAAUCCUAGCAAUGCUGCCAUGGGUGGAGACAAGCUCAUCAUACACCACUGAAACCAGUGACAGAGGAUAACCGCGCUACAAUUGGGCCACCAAGUCAAACUCCAGCGGAAAGCUUCAAGUUUGUCAAUAGAGCAGUGAUGAACAAGAUUAUAGACCAAAUGCUUCAAUGCACAGCAAGGGAUGUAGUAGAGGUUAUGAUAGUGCUAAGGACCUCAUCUUCACGUCUACCAUAAUGUUAAAUUGCUGCCUUGCUCAAAUCUCUACCUUUUCUGUCCAACAAGCAUCAACCAUGAACACCAAGUUUGAAUCCUGGAAAGUCCCACCAGCUUCCCUCCCUCCUUCCCCGUCAUUUUCAUCAUGAUCCUGGCGCCAAUUUAUCACCACAUGGUCAUUCCAUUUGCCAGAAAAGUUAUAAAUUCUGAAAUGGGGAUCACUCAUAUUCGAAGGGUGGAUAGUUAUAGUCAUCUCCAAUCUCCAUUGCAGCAUUCUUUGAAUAUGAUAUUAGCAGAAGCAUUGAUAAGAAAGGGGAUGUAGCUCAGAUGGUAGAGCGCUCGCUUAGCAUGCGAGAGGUACGGGGAUCGAUACCCCGCAUCUCCAUUCCUUUCUUUUCCCUUUUAUUAAUCUGUUGUUUUUUCAUAUCAUUUCUCUGAAUAUAUCCCUGAUGAAAUGAUUAGCGCCAAACUUAACAAAGGGUAUUAUCAUCCUACCUUGAAAUUUACAUCCCUUAGUCUUACGCACUCCACAUUAUUUCUUUCCCCUCAUAUCAGCAGGAAAAAUUUUAAAAAUAUUAAUGAAAAUGCCCAAAAACCAAGAAAAGCAAAACUCCUCAGACACUUGAGUCAGCUUCCUUCAACCCACCGAGUAAAACAGACCCAACAAACAACCCAGCUGCAACAACUGCAAUCUCCAGCUUGCAGCGCCACCAACCCCACCAAAUCAUCCGGUAUUACCACGAUCGCUGCCAGCGCCGCUACCAGUAUGGGAAGCCCAGCUGAAGCCAGAGUCGACGGGGAGACACUGGCUGUCUUCUCCAACAGACUCUAACAGCCCCAACUCCUCAGCUCUCGAAAACACACCCAAAUUCUCUAUUGAUAAGAGUGGGGAUCCCAGCUCUUCCGCCUUGGAGAGUAGUCCUGCCUUUUCUACGUUGCUAGGUACUUUGCGCUUCUCCAGAUUCUU